UACGGAGGGUGCGAGCAUUAAUCGGAUUUAUUGGGCGUAAAGGGCGCGUAGGCGGGAAGGUAAGUCAGAUGUGAAAUCCCGGGGCUCAACCCCGGAACAGCAUUUGAAACUGCCUUUCUAAGAGGAUGGACGGAGAAAAUGGAAUUCCACAAGUAGCGGUGAAAUGCGUAGAUAUGUGGAAGAACACCAGUGGCGAAGGCGAUUUUCUAGUUUAUACCUGACGCUAAAGCGCGAAAGCUAGGGGAGCAAACAGG
rnacentral:rRNA from 1 species